rnacentral:sRNA from 1 species
UUUUUGUUUUGCCUUCAAUUGGCAUUUGGCCAGAAAAUUUUCAGCCUCAUUGAAUUUCUUCUUGAUUUUCCUUAGCCUCUUCUCUCUCGCCCACAGCUUCAGUUUCUUCGUCUUCGUUUUGUUCUCGUUUUCCUUUUCACUACAUUUUAGCAAAUGACUUUCUUGGCAAAAACUUUUAAAUUUGUUGUAUCAUCUAUUUUUAAUGUCAAACCGUAGGCGGCAGUGAAGGAGGAAAAUCGAGAUACAAAAGAUAGAGGGAGAGAGAGAGAGAGAGAGAGAUACAAUCAUCGAAUGAGUCAAAUGGAAUUUCCUUGCCUUGUUUCCCCUGUGUUCCUGUCGCUGUCCUGUUCUAUUACCAAGUUCUCACAUGCAGGUGAAAUUUUAAAUUUGUAUACUGGAAAAUGUAUGACAUAAGGAGAUCGAAAAGUUCUACAAAUCAAAGGAUUCCGCGGACCUUGAGAAGGUUUUCUUCUGUGGGCUACAAUCGAGUCAUCAAUGGCCCUGAUUCCCCAUGACAGGUCCACACCUUUCCCUCCAAAUCGAACACAAUAUUUCCAAGAACUCUAAAAAAUAUUCCCAAUCGCAGCAGUCAUUGGGAUUGCCAUUUUGGGGACUGACAGAUUGAGUAGUAUUUAUAUUUCAGUCCCAAAACAGAUUGUGUAGCGUAAAUACAUAUAUUUUAAUCAAAAUUUUUUUAUUCCGUUCUAAGUGGCAAAAUUUCUAGUGUGUUAAGUUUUCGGCUGUACCGCGUCACGUUCUUUAUGCUUUUAUUUUAAUAAAAAAGUGCAAUAAAAUCCAAAAAAAAAAAAGAGAAAAAAAUAAAAAUAAAAAAAAAUAUACAUAAAUGCAAGAAAAAUACAAUAGACCCAGGAUCUACAAUACAUUCGAAAGAAGGUGCAUCCGAAAUUCAGCAGAAAGUAAAAUAGAAGAGAUUGUCUCUUCCGAUGGCCGGACAGAUUAUCGCAAGAGCUCUGUCCUUUGAGUGCUUUCUCCACAGUUAUUGAAAUUUCUGCAAUUGAGUUCGAAGCGCUCGAAGCUAUUUAAUUGCUGCCUUAGUGCUAGAGAUGGUCUACAGACACGAAACAAGGAUGCACUGCUAGAGACUACUAGACUAUUAUGUUGCAUCAGGCACAAUAAGAGGCCAACGAGAAAGACUGUACUUUGUUAUUGGAUUCUGAGGACCGACUCAGCGAUGCCAAGACAUUGCCGAGCAGGCGAAAGGGAGUAGGGAGCAGAGCAGCUCCCGCACCACGAAACAUAUUACGAAAAAUUGAAAUAGAAUUCGUAUCUGAUCCAA